rnacentral:lncRNA from 1 species
AUGCUGCUUUAAACCCAGACUGAAGUGAUGCCAGCUGUCAGAUCCAUUCGCUUCCUGGGAUAUUGGCUCCUUUUCUUGGGAAGAGCUGCUGCUGGGGCUGCAGCUGCCAAAAGCCAGCCUGCAGUCACUGAUCUCAGCCAGGGGAAGGGGAUCUGCAAGGUCACUUGGGAAGGAGAUGAAGACACCUUUAUCCACCUGGAUGCUGCUCCAAAAGUAGAGAUGAGGCAGGCCCUGUGUGGGGUUCAUAGAAUUGCAAAUCUAACAGAAGAAAUACUUGGCAUCCUCUUUUUAAAACCAAAAUUCUCUGGAUUUGUAAUGCUGAAAUGAAGAAAAUGGGAACCAGGACAAUGGAAUCCAGCAUUAAAAAUAGAGAGCUAAACACGGAGCAGGAGAGUGAGAUUGUGAGCUGGCAGGUUGUUGCUCAGCUGUCAGUAAAAAGAUCCUUCCAAGUGAAGAUGUUUCAAACUCCUGCUGAAGCCCCCAGCCAGCUGAUUGAUGCAGGAAAACUGGGGACUGAAACCCUCCUUGGGAGCAAAACAAAGGCCACGACACACAGCUGGAUGUGGUGCUGUUCCUGGGAUGCAAAGGGCCCUCCCAGAGGGUGACAGAACAGAAAAUAUUCAAGUUUGAAAGAUGUGCCCAGUGUUAGAAGCUCCUCCUGGUGAUGCCCAGCCACUCUCCUGGGUAUCUUCUGUCCCUUUGCUGAUUAAACCUGAUUCUGAGUGCACACAAGGAGGCUGGGUAGCAAAGGGAAAAGGGCAACUGGAGGAAUAUAUAAUAUAUAAUAUAUAAUAAUAAUAUAUUAUAUAAUAUAUAUAAUUAUAUAAUAAUAAUAUACUGACUUUGUCACCUCCCUGAUCCAAUUGUCCCAAUACUGUUGUCCUGGCUCAGCUGAGAAAUCCAUGUGUAGGACAAGGGACAGCCAAAGUCAGCCCUUCCUUCCCCUGAGGAAAACACUCAGUCUUCAGCCUGAAAAGGGUAAUAUAGCAACCACUGUUAAUAUUGAAGAGUUUACAUUUCCAGCUGAUUUUUUUUCCAACUUCUCUGGCAUUUUACACCCUGGUUUUUGGUUUACCCCACUGAAAGUACAUUUAUUCUGGUGGAAAAAAAAAAAAUCUGUGCUCAUGCCAGUGCCUUUUUGAAGAAUUGCUGUCUCCAAACAUUCCCAUCUUGGAUACCACAAUUAAUUCUUCAUACUUCCUUCCCUUUUCAUCUAGCACAAUGAAAAGGUAAACUGUAAACAAUGGUUUGUUUGGAAAGCAAAACAAAAGCAAUUAAAUAUCACUGACUGGAAUUUAACUCUUUAAUCAGCUCUCUUUUCUCCUCUGCUCUUCUUUCUUUUCUGCUCUAAAAUAUUGGAUUUUUUUCAAGUUUAUCAACUUGAAAAUGUUGAACUGUACAUAAUGUGUGUUCAGCCUCUGGAUGAAAUGAAUCCAUAAGAGAGUCAUGAAAACCUGGGAAUAGGAAAUCCUUCCUGCAACUUCUAUUUUGCCAUCAGAUGUACAAGUCUGGCUUCUCCUUUCAAUUAUAAUUACACCUUGUCCUUCUUUGAACUGCUGAUGGUCUUUUCCCCUGAAGAACACAAGAAAAACAGGUUUAGUCAUUGUAAAACUACCAGGUAUUUAAAAAGGUGUGUACUUCCUACAUGACUUUUUAAUCAAAACCACCAUUAAGAGGCAGUUUAGAGAAAUGAUGACUUUUUAUAACUUGAUCUUCAAGCUGAGCAAAAUCUUCUGCAAAAUGUCGAUUUAAAGACCUGAAUAAUUCAUUUAAUCUGUGAAACAUGAUUGAAACCAUGUUUAGAAUGAGCUGCCUUGGGCCUCCAAGGCCAAAGGGAAACUAUUACAUUUGAAUCAGUUUGAUUUUGUACUUCCUUGAAACAUAAAGUGUCAGUGUGAGUGCAGAGAUAACAGCAAACCCUGGCAGGGGGUGUCGAGAUGAAGCCCAGAGAUUGGGAUGUGCUUUGAUAAUCCAGAAAUGGGGGUCAAAGUUGUGCCUGAGGUAGGGAGGUACCUCCAGAACAGAACUCCUUUAAUAUAUCUUUUAACUGCUCAGCAUUUCUGGCCAGGUGGGGAGAUUUCAGGUGUCUGAACAGUUGUAUUCCAAUCACAGGAGCUGAAAUCCAGUUUGGAAACUCAUCCCAUGCCCUUCACUCACAGGUGUCAGGACUCUCAAAAAUCAUUCUAUCAGCAAUGAGUUAAAUAAUGAAGCAAAUUAUUUUCCAUACUCCAAAAUAAAAAUACUUAGUGUUGGGGAUUUUUCA